AAGACUGUACUUUCAGGGAUCAUUUCUAUAGUUUGUAACUAGAGAAGUGUGGUUGAAAGUGUAUGAUCUUGCUAACCACGAGGAUGAGUUAAAGUGUUCUUUUCUGAGCAUGAAGUGAGUGGAUAGUAUUGCUUUAAUGUAUCUGCUGUCUGCUAGUGAUGAGUGUUCUUGUUUUCCUUUUGGGAAGCUGUAGAGGAAAAGAGCACAGACUGAGUAGU